UACGUAGGUGGCAAGCGUUGUCCGGAUUUACUGGGCGUAAAGAAUGCGUAGGCGGAUAUUUAAGUCAGAUGUGAAAUCCCCGGGCUUAACUCGGGGGCUGCAUUUGAAACUGGAUAUCUAGAGUGCGGGAGAGGUAAGUGGAAUUCCUAGUGUAGCGGUGAAAUGCGUAGAGAUUAGGAAGAACACCAGUGGCGAAGGCGACUUACUGGACCGUAACUGACGCUGAGGCAUGAAAGCGUGGGGAGCAAACAGGAUUAGAUACCCUGGUAGUCCACGCCGUAAACGAUGGGUACUAGGUGUAGGAGGUAUCGACUCCUUCUGUGCCGCAGUUAACACAAUAAGUACCCCGCCUGGGGAGUACGGUCGCAAGAUUAAA
rnacentral:rRNA from 1 species